rnacentral:rRNA from 1 species
AGGUUAAGUUAGAAAGAGCGCAGGGUGGAUGCUUGGCACUGAGAGCCGAUGAAAGACGUGAUAAGCUGCGAUAAGCUGCGGCAAGAAGCAAAUAUUCAAUGAACCGCAGAUUUCUGAAUGGGGAAACCUGGCUGAGCAAACCUCAGUCGUCCUAUACUG